CCUACGGGAGGCAGCAGUGGGGGAUAUUGCACAAUGGGGGAAACCCUGAUGCAGCGACGCCGCGUGGGUGAAGAAGUAUUUCGGUAUGUAAAGCCCUAUCAGCAGGGAAGAAAGAAGACGGUACCUGACUAAGAAGCCCCGGCUAACUACGUGCCACCAGCCGCGGUAAUACGUAGGGGGCGAGCGUUAUCCGGAUUCACUGGGUGUAAAGGGAGCGUAGACGGCCGUGCAAGCCAGGAGUGAAAGCCCGGGGCCCAACCCCGGGACUGCUCUUGGAACUGUGCGGCUGGAGUGCGGGAGGGGCAGGCGGAAUUCCUGGUGUAGCGGUGAAAUGCGUAGAUAUCAGGAGGAACACCGGCGGCGAAGGCGGCCUGCUGGACCGCGACUGACGUUGAGGCUCGAAAGCGUGGGGAGCGAACAGGAUUAGAUACCCGUGUAGUC
rnacentral:rRNA from 1 species